UUCAUUAAUUUUCAACUCCAAUAAAUACGGAUCUUAAUAUUUUAUUGACUUACGUGCGACUCAAGGUCACAGAAUGAUUGGAAGGUCAAAAUCAGUCGUAUCACAGCCUUCUCUUCCUUUCUCUCAUUUUUAAAAUUUAACUGCUAAAAACAGUGCUCUCUUGUGAUUGAUCUGGCAAAAUUAACAAACAGCAGUAUUUCCUUUGAUAUUUUCAUAUUUAUGUUCUGUAAAAAAAAAAGAAACUGACAUUUUCACAGCUGGUGUACCGCACAGAACAAUAAAUUAAUAAGCACACUAACAUCCAAUCCUCACAAAAAUUCAAGAUUCUAAUGAUCUCUGCAGAAAUAAUCAAAAUUUAUUUAAGGUGUCUUCUUAGGGACACAGAGUGAGACUGUCUUGUCCUUGAGUCCCGGGAUGCGUGGACAUUACUGUCAAUCACUUGGGAAAGUGGUGAUUCUUAGGACCAGGAAUCCGGAAAAAAUAAUUCCAUGAGCCGGUGUUGUGAAUGAAGGUAUGACAUUUCAGUUUCCUUCACUGGAAUCCAGUGACCAACAGUAAUGAAUUACUACCCACUUGGCGUUACUAAGAGGGACUCUGGCCGGGUAAGUUGUUUGUCUUUGCUUUGGGAACACUGCUCACCGCCUUACAGCCUCUUGUGAGAUGGUGGCCUCGGGUCCUUUUUUGUCCACUUCUGGGAACCAUCCCAGAGAUUACCUGCAGCUUCUGGAACUCUACUUAUUUAUGGCAUUAUUUUUCUUUUACUCCUGAGGAGAAUUUGUGGCUUCUGUUUCAGGCUUUCCGAUAAGAAAUGUAUACUUUCUGGAGAGCAUGAAUAUCCAUUUCAUCAAAACAUGUUUUCAAGUAGCAUGAGAGCUUUCUUUGAACCCUGUGUACCCUCUAUCUUCAGUGCGGCUUGGUAGAUAUUCAUAAUAAGAGCUGUCUUCUCUGUGAUCUUUAACAAUCUGGGCAUCACCGAGGUCACCUAAUCAUGUUCAUGGCAAACAAGAGAAACAAAGACUUCUAAUAUUUAGACAUUGCCUUCUGGAAACUCAUCUGAAGGAAAACUGGUGCAAUAAAUGAUUUCAUCAUGGAUUUUCUUCUUUUUGUCCUGAGA